UCGGAAGGUGCGGCUGGAUCACCUCCUUUCUAGAGUAGCACCGGAGUCAGCCUUAAAACUGAACUCAUCAUCAAGCGUCCACGCUUAUCGACUGUUGAAUAGUAAAGAACAGUUUUAUCGGGGCUGUAGCUCAGCUGGUUAGAGCACCGUGUUGAUAACGCGGGGGUCGUUGGUUCGAGUCCAACCAGCCCUACCAAUCAGCACCAAGCAUCACCUAAUGGGGGAUUAGCUCAGCUGGGAGAGCACCUGCUUUGCAAGCAGGGGGUCGUCGGUUCGAUCCCGUCAUCCUCCACCAUUACGGUAAAAGUUCAAACGUAAGUCACCAACAACCUGUUGGAUGGAUUUAGGUUUGGUCUUUUCGAGAUCACUGUUUUUUCGUUCUUUAACAAUCUGGAAGAAGUAAAGUUUUUAAGCGCAUGCGACAGCAUGUGCUUGGGUAGUAGUAUUUGUAUCAUUGCAACACAGCUGUACUCUUGUACCUGUGACGAUCUCUGUUGUCAGCAGAGGCCAACGUUAUAGGGACAAGCGAAUAAGUGCACAU
rnacentral:tRNA from 1 species